GACGAACGCUGGCGGCGUGCUUAACACAUGCAAGUCGAACGGAGUGGCGAACGGGUGAGUAACACGUGGGUGAUCUGCCUUGCACUUCGGGAUAAGCUUGGGAAACUGGGUCUAAUACCGGAUAGUGCAAGAUGAUGUCGCGGCCUAUCAGCUUGUUGGUGGGGUAAUGGCCUACCAAGGCGUCGACGGGUAGCCGGACUGAGAGGGUGUACGGGCACAUUGGGACUGGGAUUCGGCCAAGACCCAUACGGGAGGCAGAGGUGGGAAAGAGUGCACAAUGGGCGGGAGGCUGAUGCAGCGACGCCGGGUGGGGGAUGAUGGGAUUCGGGUUGUAUACUCCUUUCGACAGGGACGCGGUACCUGUAUAAGAAGCACCGGCUAACUACGUGCCAGCAGCCGCGGUAAUUC
rnacentral:rRNA from 1 species